AGAGCGAAAGCAGGCAGUGCGGUGUGAGCAAGAAAGAGCAGGCGGAGAAAGCCGAUCAGGAUUCCAAAGCACCGCGAGAGUGAAAAUGAGCCCCGCUGCUGCUGCAUGCGAAAACGAGCUGUACAGAUGUACACAGGAAGCGAAGGAUACUACGAUUUUUUCCAUCAAGAGCAGCAACCCAAGCGAGUGAGAGUGUUGCUAAACGUGCGGAGUAAGCGCGUCGAAAAUUUGGGAGCGAACCGUUUGGCGGUGGUGUCCCUCGAAUAUCCCGGUCCGUCGGUGCUUCAUGAGUGCUCGGUUCCUCGCGGGUUCUUAUGCUGGGGUCGGGUCGGUUUACUCGGGGUUAUGCCGCGGCCAGUGCGCAGGUCCGGUGCUUCUAGUGUACUUCAUCAGCCCGCUCCCGUGUCUGCUCCACCAGGCUGUUCGUCGGUGGACUUGGUGGAGGCAAGAAGCCGAACGCGUUUUGUCCUAGGAAUGGACACUGAAGCUCGACAACGACAACAUUUGCUCUCCUACCUAAGUUGAGUGUGUGUGUGUGUGUGUGUGACAGCGUCACCAAAUCGGUAGGAAAAAACGAAGAAUUUAUAAAUGUACGACAGGACUGAAUUCAAAGACGAUCAAACCAAAGCAAGAAGAAAUCGUGGCGGGUUUUCGAAACUAUAGCACCUCGGAAUUCUGUAAUGCACGCAAAUGUGCAUACAGAUCGGGCCGGGGGCGGCGGAGGAUCGUGGCGGCUGCCGCCAGAUGAAACACUGCAGGUGGCCGACCCGAAACAGAAGGAAGAACAGGAUUUAUUUCCUGCCGAAGGACACAACUGGAGAAGCAUUGUGUUUUCGCUGCUAGUGAUAGGAUUUGUCAUAACCGGUAUAAUAACGGCAAUAUAUCUGCUCGGCUAUGUUGACGAACUGCUCUACUGGUCGGGGCGACGGAUGAAGUUGGACGAGUUUCUGCAGAAAGAUAUAACGCCUCAGAGGCUACCUUCGGUGUGGAUCAACAAUCAGAAAUUUGUAUUCCAGGCGGAUGAUGGAGGCCUUGCUGUUUUCGACACUGCCACCAACAGUGUAGCCACGCUAGUAACAAAUCAUACUUUGCGACAAAUUAACGUUAAAGGCUACCACUGUUCUCAUGAUUUGAAGUACGUUUUGUUUAAGCACAAUGUAAAGAAGCAUCAUAGGUUAUCUUUCACGGCUUUGUAUACUGUAUAUGACGUAUCGAAUGACCACCAUAUGCCGGUGCGAUUGAAAGAAUCCCCCAAGGUACAACGGGCCCGCCUGCAGCAUGCGUCCUGGGCUGGCAAUACUACCGCUAUGAUAAUAGUGGCCGAGAACGAUAUAUACUUGAGACAAUCACCAUCAGACGAAGAGGUUUAUCGCUUAACUUUCACCGGAGAAGAGAACAGAGUCUAUAAUGGUGUACCUGACUGGUUAUAUCAAGAGGAGAUUUUUGAGUCUUUUAGUGCUUUAUGGACCUCAGUAGAUGGCACGCACCUCAUGUACGCCACGUUUAACGACUCGCGAGUUGGCAUGAUGACUUUCCCUUGGUUCACGUCGAACACCGUCAUUGCGGCAAGCGGCGAAGGCAACCGUGAGCUUUUCCCCGUGUCGAAAACCAUACGCUACCCAACGCCGGGCUCGGUCAAUCCAGAAGUUUCGCUGUGGGUGAUGGAUAUAAGUAAUGUAAGCAAUAUACGAAAAUGGGAAGUAAUCCGUCCAGCUGCUCUCGAAGGACAAGAACACUAUCUGAUAUCGGCUAGCUGGGUAGGCAACUUGAACGAUCACGUGUCGGUGGUGUGGAUGACCCGCUCGCAGAACAUUUCGGUCGUUUCGUCCUGCUACAGUCCCACGUGGAAGUGUGUCGAGCAUCAUUCGGAGCGGGCACCAGAGAACGAAUGGCUUGACAUAUUACCUCAUCCGAUAUUCUCGCCCGAUGGGGACAGCUUUCUGUUUAUGGCGGGCAUCCAGGAGACGGGAACGGAGCAUUUCACCCACAUCAAGCACAUCACAAUCACACAGCAGCGAAUGGCUGUGAUUUCCCACGGUCGCUAUGAGGUGAUUCGCAUACUGGCCUGGGAUACGGUGAACCACCUGGUCUACUAUUUGGGGACGCACGAGAAGAAACCCGGCCAGCAGCAUCUGUACGUGGUGAAGGAUCCUGUCAGUGAGGAGGUGCGAAGGACGGAACCAACCUGCAUCACGUGUGAUCUUAGUGAUGUUCUGUGGGGCAGCCGGUACUAUUACAGCAACUGUUCGUACUUUGAUGCGUUCGUCAGUUCCCAACCGUACGUGGCGCACCACAAAGGAAUAUCCUUCUACAUACUGGAAUGUAAAGGCCCCGGUCUUCCGUUAGCUGUGGUACACGCCGCACACAAUCACAAACUCAUGCGCGUCCUGUACGACACGAGACCAUUCUUCGCGAGCAAACUGAGCGAGCUUGCUUUACCGUCGCAGCGGUCGUUCGAGAUUCCGCUGCCCCAUGGUACGCGAGCGGCAGUACAGCUGCUAUUGCCUCCGAGCUGGCGAGAAGAGCUGCGCGAUGCCGCCUUUCCCGUGCUGGUGGAGGUCAACGGUAAGCCCGGAUCGACGUCCGUGUCGGAAGAGUUCAAAAUCGACUGGGGUACGUACAUGUCUAGCCACAACGACGUCGUGUACAUACGGCUGGACGUGCGUGGUGCUCGCGGGCAAGGCAAACAAGCGCUGUACCGUCAUCUUGGUGGCGUUGAGGUGCAAGAUCAAAUCGCAGUGCUGAGGUACCUCCUGGAUACGCUAAAAUUCCUCGAUGAAACCCGUGUCGGAGUGUGGGGCUGGGGUUACGGGGGAUAUGUCACAGCGAUGAUUCUCGGUUCACAGCAACACGUCUUCAAGUGUGGCAUCUCGGUAUCGCCCAUUACCGACUGGCUGUACUACAAUUCCAUAUUUACCGAGCGAAUCCUCGGUGUGCCGGCCGAAAACUAUAAAGCGUACGUCGAGGCGGACGCAACACAGAAGGGGCGCCAAAUCCCGUCAUACUCGUACUUCCUAAUACACGGCCUAGCCGACGUCACUGCACCGUACCAGCACGGUAUCCAGCUGGCCCGCUCCCUUUCCGAGUCCGGGACGAUAUUUCGCUACUUGGUAAGUGUGAUUGCGCUUCCCACCGCAACGCGACGCGACAAGGGGAUUUAUUUGUGUCGCACCACCUCCGUUUUGCAUACGAUGACCAAUGACCAAAUCGAGCUUAUAACAAAUGUACGGCUAAGAGAGACCAAAGGUUCUGACCGAGCGUCUGUGUGAAAACGAUAGUCGAUUCUACCACCAUUUAACCGACCAUUAAGCGUAACCGCGCGAGCACUGCUUCGAAAUUUAAUGCUUGGCAAGGGACAUCGCUAAUGUGUGGCCGAUUCCUCUGGUGCAGAGCUACGCCGACGAGGGACACGAUCUGACCGGCGUAAUCGAGCACGUGUACCGUUCGAUGGAGGACUUUCUGCGCAACUGUCUGUCGCUCGAUUCCGACGAAGACAAACCGACCGAAUCGCACGUACCCAACGAGUAAGGUUGUGAGGCUGAAGAACAAAAUCCCACAAACAACCAGUGACCCCCCCCCCUCCCCCACCCCCCUGGCGCAAACCAAUUUAAUAUGAAUGUUGUGAGACCCCUUGUGUUUUGCGCUCUUCGUUAUGGGAAACCGAAACUGGUUGUGUUUUGCGUGUGUGUUUUCGAUCUAGUUUUAGGUUCCGCGCCUAGCCGAGUUUGAUUUUCUUUGUGCAAAAGAAAACUUUAUUGCGCCUACGACUAACUACGACUUCGAUUGCCGGUAUGUGUGUGUGUGUGUGUCUCUCUCUCUUUCUCACCACAUUAUAGAUGGACGUACUACAACGUAACUGAUAGGUUCUAAAGACAUAGACAUAUCAGAGAAAUAUGGUAAAAAUAGUAAACUGGAGAGCAAUGCAGAUUUAAAAAAAAGAAAACGAAACAACACACGAAGAAAAACACCCGGAAAUGGUAGUUCAUCAUCAGACACAGACGGAAACACACAUACUCUCUCGUGGUGGUCUCGCGCCAAGGUACUCUAUUUUACAAAAUAGCCGGUUACGAACAUCUGCCGGCAACAAGGCAAAUGCAGACAACCCUCGUAAAAAGGGAGAGCUUUAUUCGAACGACAAUGAAUAGACGCACGCAGGUCACACAGCAACUAAAACUAAAGUCAUCCAAUGACAGCAAACUGGGGUAUAUGCAGGAAGAUUACAGGCAAAAACGGCAGCAAGCAAAGCAAGCAAAACAACAAAAAUGGAAUUAAAAUAGCAAAACGGAAACGAAAUCAAAUCGAAUUGAACACACACACACACACAGAAGAAGAAGAAGGGGGAGAGGAAGAAAAACAAAUAGUCCUACUUACAAUAACGAAACUGAUGAGUGAGUUUUUUCGUCUCCUUUAACUUAACUCUAUUUAAGUGUAACGUUGUAGCAAAUCAAAACAAUGAAAUCGAAAACUAAAACAGCGAAUCAAAAGAAUAGAAAAAAACACACUCACACACACACACGGAACCACCAACACAAAUGCAAAUACGGCAUUUGUGCACACAUACACAACACACAACACUACAGCCGAGAUUUAACAAUAGCAAACUUAACUUUACAAAACAUAGCUCUUAAUUAAAUUGGCGCGCCAUCGCAACACAUGUGCGCGCUGCUCUCGGCCCACGGCGGGUUGGAAAAGGCGAGCACGCUAAGGGGUUUUAGUUUAACGUUAUUACUCGCUAGGUAAGUUAAGUAACAAAGGCAAGGUAAAAUCAACAAGCUGUGCAAAAAGGUAUAUCGUUUAGGGUAAUGCAAAACACACACACACAUACACACACACGAAACGUGCAAUCCGCAAUAUGCAUAAUAUAUAUAUAUAAAGGAAUGAAUCAAAGAAGAACUCACACCCGACUCGUAGCAACUCUUCUUCCCGAUUGUUAUUCGACUUAUUAAGGAUUAGCAUUCGACGCAACGGAGCCCAUACUUAACGACAACAACUGCAAUUAAGAACUCAGAUGGUUUAGCGAACAAGCAUUAGUGUGUGUGCGUGUGUGUGUGCGUGUGUGUGAGUGUCCGUGUAUGUGUCCUUGUUAGGUGCGAAAACGAAGGGUUGUAGGUUGUCCCUUCGAAUGAGAGGCCUGCUAGCGCUAGUGUAGGCAAAGAGAGAGUUUUUAGAGCGUGCCCUCAACAAAAGGCACUCGAGAAAGGAAUUUUGCAUAGUUAUUUCACGUCCUAGUUGUUAGAAUUACUACAGCAAGAGCAAUCGUAAAGCCGUAAAGAAAAAAAAAAGGGCCCGAAAACUCAUUACAAAGAGGGGUUAAAUAAGCAAUUAAGACGGCCGAAGCGAACGGAGAGAGCAAGUGCAUCUGGUGCACUUGCGCUUACAAACGUGUAAAAUAUAUUCAUCGAAACGAAUUCUUCUAACACACACAUACACACACACACAAAGAAAACAAAAAACUGUGGUCGAAAAAACAAAAUGGUGACCGGCCAGCUCCCCGGUAAAAGAAAAUAUUUUGAACACAUGGCACUGGCGCCCCGAUGCAGGGCCCAGAAACGUGUGAGUAGUUUAGGGUGCCGAUUACGGAAAUCAGUACGCAAUCGAUCGUUGCUUCCCUUUUUUUGCCUGUGUUACAAUCAGUUGCGACAUGACAAAAAAUUAGCUCAAAGAAGUCUUCACAAACGUUGAACGAAAUACAGAACAAAUUCUUCCUCCGUGCUUACCAUUCGCACAGUUGCAUCGUUUGCAUUUGUUAGUUCUCAGUUAGAGAACGGUGGGUGAAGUUGUUCAUGCUCUACGUCUUCCUUGUUUGCGAUUUCGAAAUCGCUGUUACAGCUUUUGUUGUUCAGAAACGAGUGUUUGAUUUAAAUCGAACGACGGCAAUCCACGAACUAGCGUACGAUCACGAAGCUCAGAUGGUAGUAAACGCUUCACGAUAUACUAAUACAUGGAGUGUGUGUGUGAGGUUCACACAAUAAGGAAGCAACAUCAGCGUAAAGCGGAAUAAGUAGACGUAAACAAUAGGAUGAACGAGAGAGUGCACACACCGUCUCACACAAACACACACAUAGGAAAUGAAAAUAAUUGUUGUGCCAUUCUAUUGUAAACAUGAGAGUAAAACACACAUAUUAACACGCACACACACACACACACAAGCAUAGAAAGGUGUCCUAUAGACACGUCAGUCAAAGUCACACAAACAACACUUCAACAAACAAAAAUGAAGAAAAAUCGAUACACCGAAAAAAAGGAAACGAAACAACACUACACUUCAAAUAUUGAACACAGCAAUGAAAGGAAGAGAAAAAGAGACAGAGAGAGAGAGAGAGCGAGAAGUAGAAGAAAAAACCACAGAGACACAGAGAAAAAGGAAUAAGAUAAUCAUAAUUUAUGCUUCCCAGCAAGUUUUCAUUACAUAAUGGUUGUGAAAUUGAGAAUAGACGAGACAAACAAAAAGCUAAAGAAAGAAAGAAAGAAAGAAAGAACAAAAAAAAACAAACAAGCAAAAAAAAAAAAACAAAAUAAAAAUCGUGGAGCUGUGUGUUAGCUAAA